CUACAUGAGAUCGUACCCUAAACCGACACAGGUGGACUGGUAGAGAAUACCAAGGCGCUUGAGAGAACGAUGUUGAAGGAACUCGGCAAAAUACCUCCGUAAGUUCGCGAGAAGGAGGCCCGGUUUCCAGGCAACUGGAGGCUGGGGGCACAAACCAGGGGGUGGCGACUGUUUACUAAAAACACAGGGCUCUGCGAAGUCGUAAGACGACGUAUAGGGUCUGACGCCUGCCCGGUGCCUGAAGGUUAAAAGGAGGGGUGCAAGCUCUGAAUUGAAGCCCAGGUAAACGGCGGCCGUAACUAUAACGGUCCUAAGGUAGCGAAAUUCCUUGUCGGGUAAGUUCCGACCUGCACGAAUGGCGUAACGACUUCCCCGCUGUCUCCAACAUCGACUCAGCGAAAUUGAAUUGCCUGUCAAGAUGCAGGCUACCCGCGGUUAGACGGAAAGACCCCGUGCACCUUUACUACAGCUUCAGACUGAUAUCAGGUCAAGCAUGUGCAGGAUAGGUGGUAGGCUUUGAAGCAUGGACGCCAGUCUGUGUGGAGCCGUCCUUGAGAUACCACCCUUGCUUCGCUUGAUAUCUAACCGCGGUCCGUUAUCCGGAUCCGGGACCCUCUGUGGCGGGUAGUUUGACUGGGGCGGUCGCCUCCUAAAGAGUAACGGAGGCGCGCGAAGGUUGGCUCAGAGCGGUCGGACAUCGCUCGUUGAGUGCAAUGGCAGAAGCCAGCCUGACUGCGAGACUGACAAGUCGAGCAGAGUCGAAAGACGGCCAUAGUGAUCCGGUGGUCCCAAGUGGGAGGGCCAUCGCUCAACGGAUAAAAGGUACGCCGGGGAUAACAGGCUGAUGAUGCCCAAGAGUCCAUAUCGACGGCAUCGUUUGGCACCUCGAUGUCGGCUCAUCUCAUCCUGGGGCUGGAGCAGGUCCCAAGGGUACGGCUGUUCGCCGUUUAAAGAGGUACGUGAGCUGGGUUUAGAACGUCGUGAGACAGUUCGGUCCCUAUCUUCCGUGGGUGUAGGAUACUUGAGAGGAGUUGCCCCUAGUACGAGAGGACCGGGGUGAACGAUCCACUGGUGGACCAGUUGUCAUGCCAAUGGCAGUGCUGGGUAGCUAUGAUCGGACAGGAUAACCGCUGAAGGCAUCUAAGCGGGAAGCCCCCCUCAAAACAAGGUAUCCCUGAGGACCGUGGUAGACCACCACGUCGAUAGGCCGGAGAUGUAAGCGCAGCAAUGCGUUCAGUUGACCGGUACUAAUUGUCCGAUAGGCUUGAU
rnacentral:rRNA from 1 species